rnacentral:rRNA from 1 species
AGAGUUUGAUCCUGGCUCAGAGUGAACGCUGGCGGCGUGCUUAACACAUGCAAGUCGAACGAGAACGGAUUAUAGCUUGCUAUAAUUGUCAGCUAAGUGGCGCACGGGUGAGUAAUAUAUAGAUAACCUGCCCUCAAGAAAGGAAUAACAGUUGGAAACGACUGCUAAUGCCCUAUAUGCCUUUAAUACAUAGGUAUGCAAGGGAAACGCUUUAGUGCUUGAGGAUGGGUCUGUAUGGUAUCAGCUUGUUGGUGAGGUAAUGGCUCACCAAGGCUAUGACGCCUAACUGGUUUGAGAGGAUGAUCAGUCACACUGGAACUGAGACACGGUCCAGACUCCUACGGGAGGCAGCAGUGGGGAAUAUUGCACAAUGGACGAAAGUCUGAUGCAGCAACGCCGCGUGGAGGAUGACACAUUUCGGUGCGUAAACUCCUUUUAUAUAGGAAGAUAAUGACGGUACUAUAUGAAUAAGCACCGGCUAACUCCGUGCCAGCAGCCGCGGUAAUACGGAAGGUGCAAGCGUUACUCGGAAUCACUGGGCGUAAAGAGCGUGUAGGCGGGUGUAUAAGUCAGAAGUGAAAUCCUAUAGCUUAACUAUAGAACUGCUUUUGAAACUGUAUACCUAGAAUGUGGGAGAGGUAGAUGGAAUUUCUGGUGUAGGGGUAAAAUCCGUAGAGAUCAGAAGGAAUACCGAUUGCGAAGGCGAUCUACUGGAACAUUAUUGACGCUGAGACGCGAAAGCGUGGGGAGCAAACAGGAUUAGAUACCCUGGUAGUCCACGCCCUAAACGAUGUACACUAGUUGUUGUGAGGCUCGACCUUGCAGUA